UCCCCGUUGCCGAGGCAGUUUCACAAGACAAAUCUAACUUGCGACGAGGGUUGCGCUCGUUAAGGGACUUAACCCUACAUCUCACGACACGAGCUGACGACGGCCAUGCAGCACCUGUCACCAAUCCAGCCGAACUGACUCCUGCAUUUCUGCGAGAUACGAUUGGGAUGUCAAGUCUUGGUAAGAUUCUUCGCGUUGCAUCGAAUUAAACCACACGCUCCACCGCUUGUGCGGGUCCCCGUCAAUUCCUUUGAGUUUUAAGCUUGCGCUCGUACUCCCCAGGCGGGAUGCUUAACGCGUUAGCUUCGCUACCGAGCGGGUCGAUACGCCCAACAGCUAGCAUCCAUCGUUUACGGCGUGGACUAC
rnacentral:misc_RNA from 1 species